rnacentral:pre_miRNA from 1 species
AAAGUACUCCCUCCGUCCCAAAAUUCUUGUCUGAUAUUUGUUUAGAUACGAAUGUAUCUAGUCAAAUUUAGUAUUUAGAUACAUCCAUUUGUAGACAAAGCUAAGACAAGAAUUUUGGGACGGAGGGAGUAUCAU